rnacentral:rRNA from 1 species
ACAAUCACUACUCUUAGGCGGAUAGCCCGGAGAAAUCCGGAUUAAUACCCCGUAACAUAUUUUGGUGGCAUCACUUAGAUAUUAAAACUCCGGUGGAUAGAGAUGAGCGUGCGUCCCAUUAGCUAGUUGGUAGGGUAACGGCCUACCAAGGCGACGAUGGGUAGCUGGUGUGAGAGCACGACCAGCCACACGGGCACUGAGACACGGGCCCG